UACGUAGGGACCAAGCGUUGUUCGGAUUUACUGGGCGUAAAGGGCGCGUAGGCGGCGUGGUAAGUCACUUGUGAAAUCUCUGAGCUUAACUCAGAACGGUCAAGUGAUACUGCUGUGCUAGAGUGCGGAAGGGGCAAUCGGAAUUCUUGGUGUAGCGGUGAAAUGCGUAGAUAUCAAGAGGAACACCUGAGGUGAAGACGGGUUGCUGGGCCGACACUGACGCUGAUGCGCGAAAGCCAGGGGAGGCAAACGGG
rnacentral:rRNA from 1 species